AGAGUUUGAUCAUGGCUCAGAUUGAACGCUGGCGGCAUGCCUAACACAUGCAAGUCGAACGGCAGCAUUAUCUAGCUUGCUAGAUAGAUGGCGAGUGGCGGACGGGUGAGUAACGCGUAGGAAUCUGCCCUAAAGUUGGGGAUAACCCGGGGAAACCCGGGCUAAUACCGAAUAUGCUCUACGGAGUAAAGCUUGGGACCUUCGGGCCAGGCGCUUUAGGAUGAGCCUGCGUAGGAUUAGCUAGUUGGUGGGGUAAAGGCCUACCAAGGCGACGAUCCUUAGCUGUUCUGAGAGGAAGAUCAGCCACACUGGGACUGAGACACGGCCCAGACUCCUACGGGAGGCAGCAGUGGGGAAUAUUGGACAAUGGGGGCAACCCUGAUCCAGCAAUGCCGCGUGUGUGAAGAAGGCCUGAGGGUUGUAAAGCACUUUCGUUGGGGAGGAAAGGUUUAGCGUUAAUAGCGUUAAAUUACGACGUUACCCGAAUAAGAAGCACCGGCUAACUCUGUGCCAGCAGCCGCGGUAAGACAGAGGGUGCAAGCGUUAAUCGGAAUAACUGGGCGUAAAGGGCUCGUAGGCGGUUCAUUAAGUUUGGUGUGAAAGUCCAGGGCUCAACCUUGGAAUGCCAUCAGAAACUGGUGAACUAGAGUUCAGUAUAGGGUAGUGGAAUUUCCGGUGUAGCGGUGAAAUGCGUAGAUAUCGGAAGGAACAUCAGAGGCGAAAGCGACUACCAGGACUGUAUCUGACGCUGAGGAGCGAAGGCGUGGGGAGCGAACGGGAUUAGAUACCCCGGUAGUCCACGCAGUACACGAUGAAGACUAGACGUAUGGAUGCAUUAAGACAUCUGUGUGUCGCAGCUAACGCGAUAAGUUUUCCGCCUGGGGAGUACGGUCGCAAGAUUAAGACUCAAAGGAAUUGACGGGGGCCCGCACAAGCGGUGGAGCAUGUGGUUUAAUUCGAUGCAACGCGAAGAACCUUACCUACCCUUGACAUCCUCGGAAGUCUGCAGAGAUGCGGAUGUGCCUUCGGGAACCGAGAGACAGGUGCUGCAUGGCUGUCGUCAGCUCGUGUCGUGAGAUGUUGGGUUAAGUCCCGCAACGAGCGCAACCCUUAUUGCUAGUUGCCAUCAUUAAGUUGGGGACUCUAGUGAGACUGCCGGUGUUAAACCGGAGGAAGGCGGGGACGACGUCAAGUCAUCAUGGCCCUUAUGGGUAGGGCUACACACGUGCUACAAUGGCUGUUACAGAGGGUUUGCAAGAGCGCGAGCUUGAGCUAAUCCCAGAAAGGCAGUCUAAGUCCGGAUUGGAGUCUGCAACUCGACUCCAUGAAGUUGGAAUCGCUAGUAAUCGCGAAUCAGAAUGUCGCGGUGAAUUCGUUCUCGGGCCUUGUACACACCGCCCGUCACACCAUGGGAGUGGGCUGUACCAGAAGUGGGUAAACUAACCUUCGGGAAGUUGCUCACCACGGUGUGGUUCAUGACUGGGGUGAAGUCGUAACAAGGUA
rnacentral:rRNA from 1 species